UACGUAGGGUGCGAGCGUUGUCCGGAAUUAUUGGGCGUAAAGGGCUCGUAGGCGGUUUGUCGCGUCGGGAGUGAAAUCCACUGGCUUAACUGGUGGCUUGCUUUCGAUACGGGCAGACUGGAGGUAUGCAGGGGAGAACGGAAUUCCUGGUGUAGCGGUGAAAUGCGCAGAUAUCAGGAGGAACACCGGUGGCGAAGGCGGGUCUCUGGGCCAUAACUGACGCUGAGGAGCGAAAGCGUGGGGAGCGAACAGG
rnacentral:rRNA from 1 species